UACGUAGGUGGCAAGCGUUGUCCGGAUUUACUGGGCGUAAAGAGCGCGCAGGCGGUCGUUCAAGUCGCGUGUGAAAUCCCCGAGCUCAACUCGGGAACUGCGUCCGAUACUGGCGGGCUUGAAUCCGGGAGAGGGAUGCGGAAUUCCAGGUGUAGCGGUGAAAUGCGUAGAUAUCUGGAGGAACACCGGUGGCGAAGGCGGCAUCCUGGACCGGCAUUGACGCUGAGGCGCGAAAGCUAGGGGGAGCAAACGGG
rnacentral:rRNA from 1 species